rnacentral:rRNA from 1 species
UGGGGAAUAUUGCACAAUGGGCGCAAGCCUGAUGCAGCCAUGCCGCGUGUAUGAAGAAGGCCUUCGGGUUGUAAAGUACUUUCAGUCGGGAGGAAGGUGGUAAGGUUAAUAACCUUGGCAAUUGACGUUACCGACAGAAGAAGCACCGGCUAACUCCGUGCCAGCAGCCGCGGUAAUACGGAGGGUGCAAGCGUUAAUCGGAAUUACUGGGCGUAAAGCGCACGCAGGCGGUUGAUUGAGUCAGAUGUGAAAUCCCCGGGCUUAACCCGGGAAUUGCAUCUGAUACUGGUCAGCUAGAGUCUUGUAGAGGGGGGUAGAAGUCCAUGUGUAGCGGUGAAAUGCGUAGAGAUGUGGAGGAAUACCGGUGGAGAAGGCGGCCCCCUGGACAAAGACUGACGCUCAGGUGCGAAAGCGUGGGGAGCAAACAGG